UCUUCCUCCUCCCCUCGCCUUCCUCGCCGCUUCCCCAGGCACUCUCCCGGCGGCGGCAGCUGCGCCGCCAAAGCCCCGGGCCCCAGCGGCCCCCCACCCCUCACUCGCGCGCUCCCACACUGCCUCUCCCCCCUCCCCGGGGGGAAGGCCUUUUAAUUUAUUUAUUCUGCUGGGACUGAGGUGGGGGGCUUGACUGGCGGGGGAGAAGGGGUCUCCUCGGCUUCUACCUCCCGCGGUUGGGGCUACCCUUCCAGCUACGGAGCACUCCAUGGCGAGCGCCCCCGGGGCCUCUCAAACUGUUUCCAAACUGCCCAGACCGGAGGUCCGGGAGUGGCGGCGGCCAAUCAGCGCUCGGCUUCCAUUUUGUGAGUUCAACUCUGAGGCUUCCCCGGCUGUCGCGUGGAUAUGUUUGCAGACCCUUCGGUCUCUCUUCUCGGGCUGCCGAGGCGAAGAAGCCGCCUCGCUGGGGCUUCGUGGUGGUGUAUUUCAUAUUGGGGCUCUUUUCGGGGUUUGUAAUUUGGCCGUGGGUAGGUAAUUGGCUGGAGCAGGGCGGCAGGGCGCGGCAGCCAAUCAGCACGCGGCUUCUAUAGGGCUUGAGUUAUUAGACGCUGAUCUCAAAACAUCCUUCAUCAGACUCCAAGGAGAGGCCAACAGAUGAGGGGAGCCAUUUUUCUGCAAUGGAAUUAAAUGGCCAAGUGGGUUUUUCCUUUGUUGCAAAUGGGGAAUGCUUUUCCUUUGCCUCCACCAUCCAGUUCAGGACGCCUGAAUGUGUUUAACAUUUGCCAAAGGACUCACACUUGGAAGAAUGAAGAAGACCUUUUAAAAAGAUCUGGAUUUUUCCUUAUGACUUGGAAUCCAUCUUUGUCUUGUAUAACUAGGUCAUAGCACACUAUUAAUGUCAGCAGUUAACAGUUUUGAAUUCAAAAAACCUAAAGCAGUAAACAGCCCUCAGCGAAGCCGCCUUUUUGCCAGCCCAACCCUGGAAAGUUUGCAGUCGUGGAAGGAGCAGAAAAUACCAUGAGUGUAACUUACAAAAAGGUAACAACAAAAGAACACCAUUACCCCAGAUUUUUCCCCCAACUAAACAAAACAACAAAACCUGUUAUUUCUAUAACACCUCCAAAAACACCGCCCAGCUUUUUCUCCUAGACUCCAUGGCACCGGGCUGAGCCGGUAAGUAAAAAACUAAAAUAAAAUUUAAAAAAAAAAAUUUUUUUUUAAAGUGCCUUUUGCCCCCUUCGAGGAACUCUUGAUUGAGCAGGGCCAUGGACUGUAGGUGAUUGGGAGCUGAUGUUUCUGGAGCUUGAGUUUGGCAGUCGAUUGCAGUGGGUGGGUGAGGGGACAAGGGCUCUCCAGACCCCUUUGCUUCUUCUGCUCCAAAGGCGAAGAGAGAUCUUCCCCGUACCCUGGGCAUCCAUGGAGCUGCGUGCGCUAGAUCUUUUGGCUCGCCUCAGGUCUGAACCUUGAUGGCAGAGGAGAAAUUGACGUGCUUUGGCGAUGGAGGGGCUAAAAAAGCGAGGAAACCUUCCCUCCCAUGCUAAGGUCUCGUUCCCAUUUGAUUGUGGGGUUUCUGCACCCCGAAACUGGCUUUUCGGGGCUCCGGGGCUCGUCUGCUUUUCCAAAGAGAAAAAGGACAAAAGGCCGGCGUCCAUGUUGGCACCAUGACGCAGCAUCUCUCCCGCCUGCAGCCCGGCGCUGCCUGUCCUCCCGGCCGCGCUCGCUCCUCCCUCCCAAACACGAAUUUUAUUUUCAGGGCUUUGAGCCGGGCUUCGGGCUGGGCCGGGUUGGGGCCAAGGUUGGGGCCACCCGGCCGUUCAAUACUGCGAUGGUUAAUGGCGGCCGGCUUUCCUCCUUCCUUCUGCCAUUCUUCUUUGUCCCGGUUGUCGCUGAGAGCCGGGAGGCAGUCCCGCCCCUCUUAAGAGCCUGCAAGAAACGGCACCCGCGAUCCGGGUGACCGGUCUCCCGGGCCCUUAGGCCUCCGG